UGAGGAAUAUUGGUCAAUGGGCGAGAGCCUGAACCAGCCAAGUCGCGUGAGGGAAGACGGUCCUAUGGAUUGUAAACCUCUUUUGUCGGGGAGCAAGGCCACUCACGAGUGAGUGGAAGGAGAGUACCCGAAGAAAAAGCAUCGGCUAACUCCGUGCC
rnacentral:rRNA from 1 species